rnacentral:lncRNA from 1 species
CUUGAUUUGGACUCUUUCAAAAAUGAAAAGUAGGAGAAGAAGUUUUAGAUCUGAGAUACUCUUAGAAAACUCAAGAAGGAGGAAGGGAAGAGAUGAACUCAGCAGCCCUAGAAGAAGAUCCUCUUUUUCUUCUCUUUGCUCUCUCCUAGACAUCUUAUUUUGUGUCUAUUAUAUCUCUAUGCCCCAAUCUUAUUUCUCCUUGAUUUUCACAUGCCCCAAAGGUUUCUCAAAGCUC